AACAGUACAAAGAAAUUGUUGGCGAAACAGAGGGAGUGAGUGAGACGAUGGAAGCAGCGGUGAGCGUGGUGGCGGAGGCAGUGGUGAAUGUGCUAGCGGAGACCUUGACGGGCUUAUUGUCCGAGAACUUCCAGCUAAUCUCAGGCGUAGACGACGACGUUCAGAAGCUCCUCCGCUCCGUCAAUGGCUUCAAGUCUAUCCUCAAAGAAUACCGGAAAAUCAGGACGGAAAACGAAAUCGUUAAGCAGCUGGUGAAGGACAUCAUGGACGUCGUCUACCGAUCGGAAAACCUCAUCGACCAAUACGUCGUCGACGCCAAUAUCCACGCCGAGAAAAAGCUCACCAAUUUUGUCGAUUUCGGGAAGAAAAAGGAGGUUGCGAAAAAUAUCAAAACUAUUCUCGAUGAGAUCAAGGUAAUCCAGGAGAAGACGGAGUACCAGAAAGUGAUUGAAAAUAGCGUCUUGCCCCGAGAACAUGCCCCCUCUGUGCAGCAGAAGGCACCCAAAGUGGAAGAAGAGUAUGUGGUGGGGUUUGAUGGAGAGGCGAAAACAAUUAUCCAACGUCUUAGGGACGAAUCAAGUUAUGAAGUUAUUUCAGUUUUGGGUAUGGCUGGCCUCGGCAAAACCACAUUGGCCAACAAGGUAUUCAAGUCCCAAGAAAUUGAAUAUCAUUUCAUGCAUCGUGUUUGGAUUUAUGUUUCUCAAUUGUACAAGAAAAAGGAUGUCUAUCUGCAAAUUCUAAAGAAACUACAGCAGAGCAAUGAUACUGAUACCAGAGUGACUGAAGAAGAAUUAGCUCUCAAGAUUAAACAAGUUCUGGGGCUUGGAAAAUAUCUCAUUGUACUAGAUGAUGUUUGGACUAAAGAAGCAUUCGAAGAUAUCCUGCAUGAUGCUUUUCCAGAGAGGGCUGGUUGUAAAGUCUUAGUCACCACUCGGAAAGAUGAAGUGGCUAUGAUGGUAAAUUCUUUGGGAGAGCCUCAUCGCUUGAAAUUUCUAGAGCCCGGAGAAAGUUGGGAGCUACUUGAGAAAAAGGUUUUUAAAAAGGAAACCUGCCCGGAUGACUUAAAACCUUAUGGAGAAGAAGUAGCAAAAAAAUGUGGUGGUCUACCACUAGCAGUAGUGAUAAUUGCUGGUGUUUUGUCUGGCAAACCAAAAAUUCUAUCAGAAUGGCGUAAAGUGGCCAAUAGUUAUGAUUAUUUCUUUAGCAAUGAAAUACAGAAGAGCUACGAGGACUUAAUACGAUUGAGUUAUGAUGAUUUGCCAGAUGAGUUGAAGUGUUGCUUCCUUUAUUUGGGAGCCUUUCCUAAUGGCAAUGAUAUCCCUGCUGCAAAACUUAUGCAGCUAUGGAUUGCAGAGGGAUUCAUUGAGGAAGAAGGAGGAUUAAACAUGGAAGGCAUAGCAUGUGAAAAUUUGUGUGGUUUGGUGAGUAGGAAUCUAGUGAUGGCAACAAAAAGAAAGCCAGAUGGUGAAAUAAAAACUUGUCGCGUCCACGACAUGUUGCUCCAAUUUUGCAAAAAAGAAGCUAAGGGUGAAACUUUAUUCAAUGAAAUUAAUGAAACUAAUGACAUGAAUCAACAACAGGGUUCUUCUUGUCGCCUCCUAAGUGUUCACUGCGCUUUUGAGAAGUUCAUUUCUUCUACAAAGCCAAAGCAAAAACACCGGUCCUUAUUAUGUUUUGCGGCCUCAAAUGGAGUUCAGGUUCCUCCAAACACCAUUAUAUCACUCCGCAAGGCCUUUCCAUUGCUGAAGGUGUUACACUUUGCACCAGAUGAUUCUGUUACUUUCACUACUUGUCAUAAAGACAUUUUUCGGUUAUUCCAUCUCAGGUACAUUGCUAUCUCCACUACUGUCCAAAUUCUCCCUAAAGAGAUUGCGAACUUGCAGAAUGUGCAGACUCUUAUAGUUAGGACAACACGUCCUACUCUUGAAAUUAAAGGAGACAUAUGGAACAUGCCAAGGUUAAGGCAUUUUCAAACAAACGCUUCUGCCAAGCUUCCUUCGCUUUCUGCUUCGAAAACCAAGAGAGCUCCCUUUGCAAAUGAGAACUUGCAAACUCUGUCUAAGGUUUCACCAUUUAGCUGCACCCCUGCUGCACUUGCUAAGGCCUCCAAUAUCAAGAAAUUGGGCAUCCGGGGGACUUUGGCUAAACUAUUGGAGAUAGACCCAACUAGUGGAUCUAGUUUGUUCAAAAACCUGGGAAAGUUGAAGAAACUGGUGAAUCUUAAGCUGAUCAAUGACGGGGAAAAACUACAGCGCCUUCCUCAGAAAUAUGAAUUUCCAGAGAAUCUAAGGAAGCUGACCCUGUCUAAAACUUCCCUCCAAUGGAAAGAAUUAACUGUAUUGGGAACACUAGAGACGCUUGAAAUCCUCAAGUUGAUUGAGCGUGCAGCGGAAGGAGAGUAUUGGGAGCCUACCAUUGGCGGUUUUCUUUAUCUUCAGGUUUUGCAUAUUGAUAGGACGGAUUUGAGGUCCUGGAAUGCUUCAAAUAAAAACUUCCCAAGACUCAGAAGCCUUGUUCUUAGCCACUGUGAACAACUUGAGAUGAUUCCACUUGCACUGGCUGAUAUAAGCAGUCUUCAAGAGAUAGAGUUGAAACAUACCAAGAAAGCAAUCAAGUCUGCACAGGACAUACUCAAGCAGAAACAGAACCCAACUGAAAAAAGUAACCGCAGAUUCAAGCUCACUAUCUACCCUCCUCUGCCUCGGGAUCCUUCUCAAGCGAUAUGAUCGAGCUACUUUAAUUUUUCCAGGUGAUGAUAAUGGCGGGAGUUUGAUCUGAUGUUUGGUUGUUGUGUGGGACAACUAGUAUUUCAAUUCUUCGGAUGUUUGAUUGUUGAGUGGGACACCUGCUAUUUCGGAUGUGGUCGUUUUGAUGUUUGAUAAUUGUCAUGUGGGACACUUACUACUUCUUCGGAUGUGGUCGUUCUGAUGUUUGAUUGUCGUGUGGGACACCUACUACUUCUUCGGAUGUGGUCGUUCUAAUAUUUGAUUGUCGUGUGGGACACCUACUACUUCGGAUGUGGUUGUUCUGAUGUUUGAUUGUCGUGUGGGACACCUACUACUUCUUGGGAUGUGGUCGUUCUAAUAUUUGAUUGUCGUAUGAUGCACCUACUACAUACUUCUUCGGAUGUGAUCAUUGUUUGAUUGUCGUGUGGGACACCUACUACUUCUUCGGAUGUGGUUGUUCUGAUGUUUGAUUGUCGUGUGGGACACCUACUACUUCUUGGGAUGUGGUCGUUCUAAUAUUUGAUUGUCUUGUGAUGCACCUACUACAUACUUCUUCGGAUGUGGUCAUUCUGAUGUUUGAUUGUUGUGUGCGAUAUCUACUACUUCUUCGGAUGUGGUCCUUGUUGGUUUCUUCCCAAAAUACUAUAUAUUUCCAAAUAAUGCAACAAACGUGGGAGGCAACAACCCAAGCUCGGAUGUCAAAGCGGGAGGCAACUGAUGGAUCUUCAUACACUCGUCUAGCUAAGGUUGUCUUGCUGAUGCCUCCCAUACCUUUAAUGGAAACAAUUUCUCGUUGCCUUGAUGAAUGCUGAAUUAGCAUCGCCUUUACAAUGUGGAACUCACUGUUUUUACCCACCAUUAUGCUCAGGGGCGGAGGCACAUGGUGGACUUGAAGACAAAAGGUUUGGGAAAGCACCAAGCAAUAUUUCAUUUCGGCAGUCACAGUAGUGGAGAAAAAAACAAGCAGGCAACAAGUAAUGGUACUUUGUAAAGAGGAAAGCCAACCAUUUUCUUAAAUUUCGGUAGAAGAGUGGAAUUACUCCGUAUUAUACUCCACUAUUCCCAUUCAUUGUAUUCAGUAGGUGAGCAGGCAGCAAGCAGAGAGAGGAAAACCAAGUUCGUCUCUCUGACUCUCUCUCUUUCUCAUUUCUCUUUUCUUAAAUUUCUCAUAAAUUUCGAGAUUAUUCCAUCAUUGACUUCCUUAAUUUAUAUUUGUAUCCCUUUCUGGGUGCCAUUGAAAUAAAUGCAGGAAGAAAAAGGGAAAUUAUGGGUAUUAUGAAUUGGAGAAUAAAGCUUUGAGCAA